rnacentral:tRNA from 1 species
GCUGAGGUGUCCGAGUGGUUAAGGAGUUGGACUUGAAAUCCAAUGGGUUCUGCCCGCGCAGGUUCGAAUCCUGUCCUCAGCG